rfam:Spizellomyces punctatus DAOM BR117 chromosome Tnknown supercont1.4, whole genome shotgun sequence.
GCUCUCUUAGCUCAGUUGGUUAGAGCGUGGUGCUAAUAACGCCAAGGUCACAGGUUCGACCCCUGUAGGGAGCA